UCCAGAAGUCUUAGCAUAGUCUAAGCUAGCUCUCUGCAGCUUUCACAUGGUCACCCAUUGAAGCUAAGCAGGGCUGUGCCUGGUCAGUACCUGAAUGGGAGACCUCAUGGGAAAGCUAGGUUGUUGCUGGAA
ensembl:rRNA 5S_rRNA 5S ribosomal RNA